CACUGCCAUUCAGUGUCUCCACUCUCUGCAUGCAGACACUGAACUUUCCUCAUAGAGAUGCAUUGAUUCAAUUUAUCUUUAUGAGGAGAUGCCGAUUGGCCAGGGCUAUGUCUGACUUGUGCUGGCUCUGCCCCUGAUCUGCCUAGUUGACAGUCUCAGCCAAUCCUAUGGGGAAGUAUUGUAAUUUGCUCAGACCACCACUUCUGAUGAUGUCAGCAGACAGUCAGUU